rnacentral:rRNA from 1 species
GACGAACGCUGGCGGCGUGCCUAAUACAUGCAAGUCGAACGCUUCUUUCCUCCCGAGUGCUUGCACUCAAUUGGAAAGAGGAGUGGCGGACGGGUGAGUAACACGUGGGUAACCUACCCAUCAGAGGGGGAUAACACUUGGAAACAGGUGCUAAUACCGCAUAACAGUUUAUGCCGCAUGGCAUAAGAGUGAAAGGCGCUUUCGGGUGUCGUUGAUGGAUGGACCCGCGGUGCAUUAGCUAGUUGGUGAGGUAACGGCUCACCAAGGCCACGAUGCAUAGCCGACCUGAGAGGGUGAUCGGCCACACUGGGACGGAGACACGGCCCAGACUCCUACGGGAGGCAGCAGUAGGGAAUCGUCGGCAAUGGACGAAAGUCUGACCGAGCAACGCCGCGUGAGUGAAGAAGGUUUUCGGAUCGUAAAACUCUGUUGUUAGAGAAGAACAAGGACGUUAGUAACUGAACGUCCCCUGACGGUAUCUAACCAGAAAGCCACGGCUAACUACGUG